UCAAGGGCGCCUUAAGGCCCGUUCUGCCUGCCCGCCGUCCCUCAGGACCCGUGGCUGCGCCCUCGGCCCCCACCGUGCCCUGUCACACUGUCCAUCUUCUCCUGUUUGAACCUGUUACUGUAGCGUCUCUGGCAAAAUGGAACGCGGGUUGGCUUAACUUCCAAACUUAAUAUGGUAGUUCCCAAAAAUAACCAAACUACACUUGCCAACAACAGCUAAGCACAUAUGGAGGAUCCCUCGAACAGCGACACCAGAAAUUUGGAAAAUUGGCCCAUACAUAAUACAAGAGACACCGGUGUGUUGGAGCUGACCUGCUCUCUAGUACUAGAGGGAGCUCCAAACUGGAAGCUGUGGCAGCCAGCAUGAGCAAUUGAGGCCAGCUCAGUGAGCAGGAAAUCCCGGACAGGCACCGAAAUGGAGGCUACAGGGGACAUGCUGCUACAACUGCCUUCAGCAGACAGUGGUGUGCCGUCCUGAAAACACCUGUAAAGCUCUGAUUGUCCUGCUAAUGGGCUUUUUGUUAAACAGAACAGUCAAGCUGCUACAAAUCAAACAAGUCUUGAUCAUACUUUCACUCUGCAAGGGGAGGUGGUCAUCAGUCAUCCCAUCCCCACGGCCUGAAAAUACACUGUACUGUUCCAUAAACCAGCAAGCUUGUGUCAUGCAUUCAUCCUCCAUUUUGGUUUUUUAUGUAGGUUGGGUCCAGCACAAUUUCAAAAACAAAUUCUGGCCUCUUUUUUAAAGAUGAUUGGUAUUAAUACAGUGGUUACUUUACAUUUUUUUGCUUAAAAAUAAUCACAGAUCAUUGGAUCUGAAAGUCCAGGGGACCAAAGUCCAUUUUCCAGAUCCAGUGGCACCUCAGAGGCAUAAAGUUUUAUAUCCUUGCAGUGCUCAGUAGCCUCAGCUGCAAACUGGAGCCCAUUGCUCGGGUAAGCUCUGCAGAUUCACACGAGCCUACAGACCUUGCCCAGAGGCUUCGUGCCCGCACAGCCCCAAGCCCUGGAGAAGCCAGGGAAGAGCUGCACACCCACAGGUUUUGCUGCUCUGCUGUGGGCAGCCAGAGCCCUGCCCCAGCAGGCCUGGGGUUGGGACAGACCAGGAGGAGCUGGGCAGGCUGUUUCAUACAGCUGCUGUCUAAGGAGUUAAUCGGUGCUGAAAGCUACUAAAAAUGGCACACAGCUUAUGUCUGCAUAUCUUUUUUUAGCUGCUAUUUAAUUGCCUGGUUUCAGCCCACGAGGCACAGCACGGGCACUUGCCAGGGGCACCGCUCUGCGUCACACAGGGGAACUACAGGGAGCCCUGUGCUCAGCAGGAAUGGGAAAGGAAGUCAAAGGCAGCAGGAAAGCCUUUCUCCUCCUCGGAGCUGGUCCCAGCAGGCUGGCAGAGACUGAGCCCUGCUCCUACAGCACAGCAGCCUGCCUGCUCACACCCACGUAGCUGUGGCUGCCCCUUGAUACACCCUCCAUCACAUCCACAUCUUACACAGGCAGGGAUCCUGGGCCUCCUCUCAUGCUGAGCUGAGACAGCCAAGGCAAAAUGCUGCCUUCAGGUUCAAGUCUCUCCACUCUGAUUUCCAGCAUCUACCUUACAUUAGAGAGCCAGGGCCAACAGCUGUACCCUCGAUGAACCACAGUCCCAUACGCUGGCAGCCCUACAGAAAACAGGGAACCCUCACAAGAGCAAGAUGUACCAGGUAAGUGACCACCAUUAAAGCAAGGACAGGCCUUUGCACUUUGUCACAGCAGCUCUGCUGGCAGCACGGGGGUGCUCCAGGGCAGCCCCACCAAAACAGGGGACAGAGGGGACAUUCCCAAACACACCAGGACAGGUAAGACACCCCUGGCUGCUGGGCUGGAUGCAUCACUGGAUUAGACAAACACAGCCAUAGGUUCCAAAGGCUUCCCUGGCACCGGGAUGUGCUCGCACUGAUGAGCGUGCAGAAGGUGGCAGGAAGCCUGGGGCAAAGGGCUCUCCAGCUGCCUGAAACACUGCAUGGAGUUUGUGCUGGCAGCCUGCAAGGCCCAGGCGGCUGGUCAGGAGGACACAGAGGCUUUCCUCUUCAUCAGAAAAGACCCAGACAAGUGGAGACUAAAUCCUUCUAGGAGUAGAACUCUAUUAAGAGAAUGAAGACAGGGAAACCUCCAGAAGAGCUCUCACCUGGUCCGACGCCUCCAACUCCCAGGAGAUACAAGAUGGACAACUAAAGUGCGAGCUGAGGCACCACAAACUCCAAAUGAGCAGGAACAGCCAAGUACACUGUGGUGUAACGAUGCCUUCUUGGUGUGCAGCAGCAGUUAAAAGGGCAAAGAGAUGAGGCACUGAGCUCAAGAGACAACACAAAUGGCAUUAGAAUUCCUCCACUACCAUGACCCCAAAUGACAGUUAUUUAGAUUCCAUUCACUGCCAAUUAUAGACAAACUGGUCCUGCAUAUUUUUGGAUUGCAUUUACAGGCUCAAAUCUGGCUGUAGCAUCAGUUACUGCACAGACUCCCUGUAACUGUAUCGUCAACAGAGUUUAUUUGUACCACCAUCUGCAUCUCCAAGAACACGAUGAAUAUGCUGGAAAACACAGAUCCCCAGCAGACUGUUGGCCUCCAUUAGAAAGUUCUUUCCAUUGCAAGGCUGACUGGAUAUACUUCAUGCUUACAUUUUUUUCUAUUCCAUGAAGCAACUUUAGCCCUGAAAAAAAGGAGUAAUAGGAUAAGACCUUGUUGAAGGGUUUAAUGAGAAAUUUCAGAAAAUAUGUUGACUGUGUCAACCAUUUUUAUUAAUUCAUUCCCGUAAGGUCUGAUUUUACUCUUUAAAUAAAAAGAAAUUCUCUGACAUGUCUUCUCCAGUCAAUUACUUACCCUCACUGUAACUGUGUAACUCUUCUCACUGUAUUUUCUUUUCUCAGGUCUGUAAGACUAA